UAUAAAGUUACGCUUAAUUUUCAGCAUAUGCUGAGAAGCGGGGGAACCAUUUUUUUGGGGCGAAUCAAUUCAUAUUGUAGGGAACCAUCUUUCCCGAGCCCGACAGCUAACCUCGUCAGUAGUAGAUGGGUCAAAUU
rnacentral:sRNA from 2 species